CCUACGGGGGGCAGCAGUGGGGAAUAUUGCACAAUGGGCGCAAGCCUGAUGCAGCGACGCCGCGUGAGGGAUGACGGCCUUCGGGUUGUAAACCUCUUUCAGUACCGACGAAGCGCAAGUGACGGUAGGUACAGAAGAAGCACCGGCCAACUACGUGCCAGCAGCCGCGGUAAUACGUAGGGUGCGAGCGUUGUCCGGAAUUACUGGGCGUAAAGAGCUCGUAGGCGGUUUGUCGCGUCGUCUGUGAAAACCCGCAGCUCAACUGCGGGCUUGCAGGCGAUACGGGCAGACUUGAGUACUGCAGGGGAGACUGGAAUUCCUGGUGUAGCGGUGAAAUGCGCAGAUAUCAGGAGGAACACCGGUGGCGAAGGCGGGUCUCUGGGCAGUAACUGACGCUGAGGAGCGAAAGCGUGGGUAGCGAACAG
rnacentral:rRNA from 1 species